CUGAGACACUCCUCUAACUUUGGAAAAUGUUCUGGUUCAGCUGUGAUGUUGAAUAUUUCUCUGUGUUUUCAUUGUUAAACUGUUGAUGAGGAAUAGGUCAUAGUGUAUUGAUCAUUUCCUUUGUAUAUUUCUCUUUUUAUUUCCUCCAGGUGUCACCACUUCAUCCACGAUCUCAGAGAGUCUUCGUACACUUAGAAAGUUCUUUGAAACCAGGACUGAGGCCUCCAGGAUUCAAACUUCAACCAUGUGAAGAGAGAGAGAGAGAGACAUAAAGACAUUUCCAGGUCUUCAGCUGUGGUUGUCUUCUUCUCCUGCAGAGACAAGAACACGUGUUAAUCACAGAAACUGAUCUAUUUUCCCUUUCCUAAACUGCCCUUAUUCAUUGUUGAUGCCUAAUUACAAUGAUUUAAACUAAACUUUUUACAACUAAGUCAGUAUUUUAGUGUUUUUCUUGUUAUAACAGUCACAGUAAUGACUAGAAAUAGUUCUGAAACUUAUACCUCAAAUUUUACAGCGAUAGAUAAACAUGAACCAUGUCAAUGUAAAUAAAUGUGUAAAUACAAAUGUAAAUACAGGAAAACAAUUUAAACUGUGCUGUUACUAAAAUGAUGUUAUUUAAUAAGAAAUUGUUUAGUUAGGUUAAUAAGUUAUUUUUUAUGACAUGACAUCUUUAUACUAUGGCCUUUUUUAAAUAAUAUUUUAAUGAAAUUAAACAUUCGGCUAAAGACAAAGGAACUAUCUUAAAGCAGCCAUCUUGCCUUUGUUUUCCACAGACACAUAUUCACACACAAGUUAGAUUUUGUGUUUGUUGUUUCAUUUUUGUGUGAUUUACU